GAUUGCCUCUGUGUCCAGUUCUCAUGUGUAUCUCCAAAGCCUAGCACUGAUCCCAGCACAUGAGAGAAAAACCGAGAAUCAGGGAAGGAGUAGACUCGCUCAGGGUCAUGCAGCUUGAGGGACUGUGCUGGCCUGAAGUAAAUUUCUCUACAAAUUUCAAGUGAAUGCUUGAAAUGGAGCAAAGUCCACUGCAACGCAACACUUGUCUCUGCCCUGCGCACGGGGCCCAUCUCAAACAAAGGUGGGCAAAGCUGUGCCCUCUGGGCGUGUUCCUCUGGAGCUUUCUCAGGUUGGUCUGCUGCAGGUAGUAAGGUGUCACGAUCUUUAUUUUUGCGCUUUUUGUAAUAGUAUGCAUGCUCUGAAAACCAGGCUUUUCACUGAUCCCGAAGUCAUGCAACUCCACAUUUUACACAAUUGGAAAGUUUGGACUUGGCUCGUUGUCUUAUGAUGGAGUUUUACU